ensembl:processed_transcript Mrln myoregulin
GGGCGGCCAUUCCCAGGACUUUGGACUUGGCUCCGUUGCACCCCUGAACAGACUGCAUUUGGAACCACCCUGGGAACACACCUCUGGGAACCAACGUUGCUAGGAGAACACCUGUGCCCCAGCACUUUGGUCCAGCAAGGGCAGGAGAGGAGAGCUGGAAACUGGUAGAGCUGUGCUACCUGCUACCUCCUGAGGCUCUCAGGGAGCAGGAGAAUCUGAACAUGAGUGGCAAGAGCUGGGUACUGAUCUCUACUACUUCGCCCCAGAGCCUGGAAGAUGAGAUUCUGGGACGGCUUCUGAAAAUUC